CCUACGGGUGGCAGCAGUGAGGAAUAUUGGUCAAUGGGCGAGAGCCUGAACCAGCCAAGUCGCGUGAGGGAGUACUGCCCUAUGGGUUGUAAACCUCUUUUGUCGGGGAGCAAAAGCCGGACGUGUCCGGCUGUGAGAGUACCCGAAGAAAAAGCAUCGGCUAACUCCGUGCCAGCAGCCGCGGUAAUACGGAGGAUGCGAGCGUUAUCCGGAUUUAUUGGGUUUAAAGGUUGCGCAGGCGGCUUGUUAAGUCAGCGGUAAAAUCGUGGGGCUCAACCCCAUCCAGCCGUUGAAACUGGGGAUCUAGAGUGUGCGAGAGGUAUGCGGAAUGCGUGGUGUAGCGGUGAAAUGCAUAGAUAUCACGCCGAACCCCGAUUGCGAAGGCAGCAUACCGGUGCACAACUGACGCUCAGGCACGAAAGCGUGGGUAUCGAACAGGAUUAGAUACCCUUGUAGUC
rnacentral:rRNA from 1 species